rnacentral:rRNA from 1 species
UGACAGGGAGACAGGUGGUGCAUGGUUGUCGUCAGCUCGUGUCGUGAGAUGUUGGGUUAAGUCCCGCAACGAGCGCAACCCCUACGUUUAGUUGCUAACGCGUGAAGGCGAGCACUCUAGACGAACUGCCGUUGACAAAACGGAGGAAGGUGGGGAUGACGUCAAAUCAUCAUGCCCCUUAUGUUCUGGGCUACACACGUGCUACAAUGGCCGGUACAGACGGACGCAAAGCCGCGAGGUGGAGCAAAUCCUAAAAAGCCGGUCUCAGUUCGGAUUGCAGGCUGCAAUUCGCCUGCAUGAAGUUGGAAUCGCUAGUAAUCGCAGGUCAGCAUACUGCGGUGAAUACGUUCCCGGGCCUU